GGCCAGACUCCUACGGGAGGCAGCAGUGGGGGAUAUUGCACAAUGGGGGAAACCCUGAUGCAGCGACGCCGCGUGUGGGAAGACGGUCCUCUGGAUUGUAAACCACUGUCCCCAGGGACGAAGAUGACGGUACCUGGGGAGGAAGCUCCGGCUAACUACGUGCCAGCAGCCGCGGUAAUACGUAGGGAGCGAGCGUUGUCCGGAAUUACUGGGUGUAAAGGGAGCGUAGACGGCCAAGCAAGCCAGGGGUGAAAGCCCGGGGCCCAACCCCGGGACUGCCCUUGGAACUGCUUGGCUGGAGUGCGGGAGGGGCAGGCGGAAUUCCUGGUGUAGCGGUGAAAUGCGUAGAUAUUAGGAGGAACACCAGUGGCGAAGGCGGCUUACUGGACUGUAACUGACGUUGAGGCUCGAAAGCGUGGGGAGCAAACAGGAUUAGAUACCCCUGUA
rnacentral:rRNA from 1 species